rnacentral:rRNA from 1 species
GACGAACCGAGCGAACGUUAUUCGGAAUCACUGGGCUUAAAGGGCGCGUAGGCGGGCGGCCGAGUCCGGGGUGAAAGCCCCCAGCUCAACUGGGGAAGUGCCUCGGAUACUGGUCGCCUCGAGGGAGAUAGGGGCGUGCGGAACUUCCGGUGGAGCGGUGAAAUGCGUAGAUAUGGGGAGGAACACCGGUGGCGAAGGCGCUGCUCUGGGCCGGUACUGACGCUGAGGAGCGAAAGCGUGGGUAGCAAACAGG